rnacentral:tRNA from 1 species
GAACUUGAUUUGGAAAACGAGUACUGCUAAUCCUCUUACCCACAGUUCAAUUCUGUGGCGAGUUUA